GACGCACGCUGGCGGAGUGCCUAAUACAUGCAAGUAGAACGCAGUUGCGAACGGGUGAGUAACGCGUAGGUAACUGCCUCAUAGCGGGGGAUAACUAUUGGAGACGAUAGCUAAUACCGCAUACUGUGAGAUGGACCUGCGUUGUAUUAGCUAGUUGGUGAGGUAAAGGCUCACCAAGGCGACGAUACAUAGCCGACCUGAGAGGGCGUCCGGCCAAACGUGAACUGUGUAAAGGCCACAGCUACUUCGGGAAGCAGCAGUAGGGCAACUUCGGGUAUGGACGGAAGUCCGACCGCGCAACGCUGUGGCAGUGACGCAGGCGUUCGGCCCGUAACGCCCCGUUGUUAGAGUAGCGGUACCUCUCCAGUAAGCGACGGCUAACUACGUGCCAGCAGCCGCGGUAAUUC
rnacentral:rRNA from 1 species